rnacentral:lncRNA from 1 species
UAAAGGGGGGGUUCUCUGUUUGUUUGCUUCUUGUAGCCCCCUUGACCUCACCAGUAAGGCAGCUAAGGGGGAAACGGAGCAGGGCAUUGAAGCCACACGGGGCUGAGUCUGACCCUAGGUUUUGUGCCUUGUCUGAGCCCCAUUUCCCCCACCUGUAAAAUGAGUAUGUAUGUGCCUCAUGAAAUUAUUGCAAGGAUUGAGUGAGAACAUGCAGCGCUUCCUAGCAGGUCCUUGGUCUAUGCAGCUUUACGGUGAAGGUGAUGACUUGGACACUCCCAGCCUAGAACUUGGCCCACAGAAAGGUUUACAUCAGCCCUCGUUGUCUGGGAGUGGAAAUGCUCUCAACGUUUCAACCAAAGAUCUGAGAGUAGAAUACAUUCUGUCUUUAAGGUGCUAGCUGUUCAUUUUCCAGACAAACCCACAAAUAAGUAAAAAGAGAAACGGAGGGAGGGAGGGAGAGUAUUCUCUGGGAAAACAGGGAGAAAUAAAAGAU